rnacentral:rRNA from 1 species
GACGUUACCUACAGAAGAAGCACCGGCUAACUCCGUGCCAGCAGCCGCGGUAAUACGGAGGGUGCGAGCGUUAAUCGGAAUUACUGGGCGUAAAGCGCAUGCAGGCGGCCUGUUAAGUCAGAUGUGAAAGACCCGGGGCGUUAACCUCGGAAUUGCAUUUGAAACUGGCAGGCUAGAGUCUUGUAGAGGGGGGUAGGAAUUUCUAGGUGUAGCGGUGAAAUGCGUAGAGAUCUGAAGGAAUACCAGUGGCGAAGGCGGCCCCCCUGGACAAAGACUGACGCUCAGAUGCGAAAGCGUGGGGAGCAAACAGGAUUAGAUACCCCUGGUAG